rnacentral:rRNA from 1 species
AAUCAUAAUGGCCGAAAAUCUAAGGUUUCUUGGGGAAGGUUCGUCCGCCCAAGGUUAGUCGGGAGCUAAGCUCAGGCCGAAAGGCGUAGGCGAUGCACAUACGGUAGAAAUUCCGUAACCACCGAACAUUUAAGCUAGAGGGACGCUUUCAUUAAGUCUAUCCCGGGCGAUGGUUGCCCCGGGCGUAAGGGACCGAAAUUUAGUAGGGAAGUAGACGGCGUGAGAGACGAGAAAAGCUCUAGUGUAUACUAAGGUGCCCGUACCGCAAACCGACACAGGUAGAUGGGAUGAGUAUUCUAAGGCCAACGGGAGAAGGGUUGUUAAGGAACUCGGCAAAUUGGCCCCGUAACUUCGGGAUAAGGGGCGCCUGCGAGAGCAGGCCGCAGUGAAAAGGCCCAAGCGACUGUUUAGCAAAAACACAGCUCUCUGCUAAAUCGAAAGAUGACGUAUAGGGGGUGACGCCUGCCCGGUGCUGGAAGGUUAAGGGGAGUGCUUAGCGCAAGCGAAGGUGCGAACUUAAGCCCCAGUAAACGGCGGCCGUAACUAUAACGGUCCUAAGGUAGCGAAAUUCCUUGUCAGGUAAGUUCUGACCCGCACGAAUGGCGUAACGAUUUGGGCACUGUCUCAACAGCCCGCCCGGCGAAAUUGUAGUACCGGUGAAGAUGCCGGUUACCCGCAACUAGACGGAAAGACCCCAUGGAGCUUUACUGCAGCUUAAUACUGAGAUUCGGUAAUUCAUGUACAGGAUAGGUGGGAGACUUAGAAGCAGAGUCGUUAGGCGCUGUGGAGUCACCCUUGGGAUACCACCCUUGGAUUGCUGGGUUUCUAACCUGCGGCCAUGAAUCUGGUCGGGGGACACUGUUAGGCGGGCAGUUUGACUGGGGCGGUCGCCUCCUAAAAUGUAACGGAGGCGCUCAAAGGUUGGCUCAGCAUGGAUGGAAAUCAUGCAAUGAGUGUAAACGUAUAAGCCAGCCUGACUGCGAGACCGACGGGUCGAGCAGAGACGAAAGUCGGAGUUAGUGAUCCGGUGGUAUGUGAGUGGAAAUGCCAUCGCUCAACGGAUAAAAGCUACCCUGGGGAUAACAGGCUGAUCUCCCCCAAGCGU